UUGCUUUGGCAGCAAAUAUACUAAAACUGGGAUAAUACAGAGAAGAUGAGCAUGGUCCCUUCACAAGGAUAACAUACAAGUUCAUGAAGCACUCCAUAUUUUU
rnacentral:snRNA from 1 species